rnacentral:piRNA from 1 species
UGCCAUGUAUUCUGGAAGCUGGGCAGAGU